GUAAGCGGAUGGGCUCGGCCUCAAGGACAGGGUGCUCGGCUGAAAAAAAAGCUAGCGGCGAUCACCGGUGCCAGGGCUCUCCAGAAACGGAGCCCAUCUAACCAAUGCCCAGCACACUCGCUCUGCUCCACACACGAGACCACCUCCGACCCGCACUAAGUUGGCCAACUGCACUCUGGAGGCGGCGGCAGCCAGCGAGGGAGAAGGGAAAGGCUGUCCCGGGACCCCGAGGAGGACUGCCCCGCCCCCGGGAACCGGGUGCGGCGUAAAACAACCCCGGCUCCGGGCCGACCCUUCCUGGCCCCUUGGAGGCCCAGGCGGGGCGGCGGGGGGCGACGCGGCAGGGGUCUCCGCGCCCAGGCUCCCGCGGAGCGGCCACACGUGGAGGUUCCCACUUUGGGGUCGCGGCCGCAGCAGCACCGGGCGGGAUGCUGUCCGCGCUGCCCGCGUACGGCCGCGGCCUGAGUGGAGACGCCUGCCCCCAGCCCCGAGGCCUCGGCCCCCGUCCGCCCUCUCUCCCUGCUCGGCGGCCUCGUACUCACGCUGACUUCAUGGCAGCAGGCUCCACGCCGCCCAAACGCGCAUGCGGGACGGCUGGCUGGCGAAGACUGCGGGACGUUAGGACCGGCAGCAAGAACUAGAACUUCGCGGCUAAGGCGCGGUGCUCUGCGAAGCCGGCGGCGACGCUAAGAGCCCAGGUGAGCUCCCGCCUGGCGCAUUUCAAACGGGCCAAUCAGCGCCCGUCCGCAGGGAGAGGCAGGACCUCCGCGGAAGUGACUUCGCUGCCGGAAGUGGCGCUUGUCUCCUAGGCGACCGACGCUGAAAGGGCCGCGGAGUCGCGUGUCAGGGCUGGAGGGAGAUCUUGAGAUCACUUCAAACUUAAGUGAGCUCAGGUUCAUCUGGAGGAUGACUCGGCCUCUGUUCUCUCGUCCCACCUGACGAGAAAUACCCACAGGUGUGGAGGGGCUGGCCCCCUUCACCUGGGUCUCGACUCCUGUUUUGUUCUGCGGUUCCCAUUGCAGUGCUGUGACCCCCCAGAAGCUCAGGAAAACAACUGACUUCCUGGUGUUGCCAACAGGCAGAGAGGAGAUGCAGCCAGUCCUUACCCUGUAGAAGAUGGGGAGGGAGUCCCAGGUGUACGGAUAAGCAAAGGCGAGGACACGAAUCACCUUACAGAGUCUGGGCUUCUGGAUUUCAAGAAACCUAAAUCAGGGAAGGAAAGUGGGGAGGAAAUGGAAUGAAAAGAGUCUCAGCAAAUUGCAUACGCACAUGCAUGCACACCGAGGGCCUGGUCAUCAACAGAGGACAAGCAUUUUUCUACAAGCUCCUGUGGCCAGCAGCUUCUCCACCAGCCUCGUCCAUUCCUCCCACCCCAAUGGAAGUGACAAAACUUCAGAUGCAAAAAGAUCUCCAGGGACACCAUCUCCUGACCAUGGGAAGCAGUGGUGUCCAGACUAAGCCAGAAAGGAGGCGCUGGGCAGAAACCCUUCAAGGGCCAAGUUAUGUAACUGCCAAAGAACCUUUUAAAACUCUAGUUGCUACAGGGACAGGGAACGGGUAGGGGGAAUCGGGGGAUCCACUGCCACAGACUCUUGGGGGGCACACUCUGCAGAGGCUGAGAUGCACCCAUCUAGUUGGAGCCCAGGUAUUAUCAUGCAGGAGACCUGGGUUCAAGUAGGUGUUUGACCCUUGGAGAGCUUUCUGGAAUAUUUAUACCACACACAGGGAUACUUGGCUUGGGAAAACUAAAUAAACGUGAAGUCUUUC
rnacentral:lncRNA from 1 species